AUAAUGCCUUUCUGUAGAACUUCAAAAGAGAAAAUUAUGUUUAAGUGAUGAGGACAAUAAGUAAGAUUGGAGAAACUGAAGAUGUAGAAAGAACUGAGAUGAAAGAGAAUUCUUAGAAGACAAGAGUCAAUGGAACACACUGCAUAGUUGGAGGCAUUUUUUCACGUAGGAGAUGAGUGAAACAAACUGAUGCAAAUCCAAAGUGCCAGAGGCAACACUGGAACUAAUUGUUCAGAAUUGCACAACUAAAGGAGCAUUCUGGAUUUUUUUUAUCUUUGAAAAGAUUGCAGCUGCUCAUAUAAGAAAAUACAUGCUAUGCAAACAAAAUGAAAUCAAUUAAAAUCAAAUACA